UACGUAGGGGCCUAGCGUUGUCCGGAUUUAUUGGGCGUAAAGAGCUCGUAAGCGGUUCUGCAAGUCGGAUGUGAAAUCUCCACGCUUAACGUGGAGGGGCCAUUCGAAACUGCCGUGACUCGAGUCCGGUAGGGGAGUGUGGAAUUCCUGGUGUAGCGGUGAAAUGCGCAGAUAUCAGGAGGAACACCAGUAGCGAAGGCGGCACUCUGGGCCGGUACUGACGCUGAGGAGCGAAAGCGUGGGGAGCGAACAGG
rnacentral:rRNA from 1 species